rnacentral:lncRNA from 1 species
CCGUCUGCCGACCCCUGACAGGCUUAGGAAGGAGCCCUUUCAUACCGCUACAGCUCCGUGUUAGCGGCCGCCCGUGGAGAGGGAACUGUUUCCAUGAAGAAAUACAACUCGUCUUUUUGCUUUUAAUUUCUCUAGAAUGAGUGGACUCAGAAUGGUGGCAAAAGAGGCAAAGUGAGAGUAGGCGUCUCCAAAAUGUCAGGCUGGUGACUGGACCAGGGGCAGGAGGAGCAAAGCAGCUCAAUUACCUGAAGAGCUUCAAAAAGU